ACGGAGGAUGCGAGCGUUGUUCGGAAUCACUGGGCUUAAAGGGCGUGUAGGCGGAGUGUCAGGUGCUUUGUGAAAUCCCGCGGCUUAACCGCGGAAUUGCUUGGCAAACCGGCAUUCUUGAGGCAGGUAGGGGCGACUGGAACCUUUGGUGGAGAGGUGAAAUUCGUAGAUAUCAAAGGGAACGCCGAUGGCGAAAGCGAGUCGCUGGGCCUGUCCUGACGCUGAGGCGCGAAAGCGUAGGGAGCGAACGG
rnacentral:rRNA from 1 species